GGCAGCACCGGGGUGUGGUCAAUCAUCACAAGACGACUAGCGCUCAUCCCUACUCGAUCGUAUGGCUUCUAGAGGCUCCCGUGGAGUAUGUACGUAUGUAUCUGUACGUAGAGCGCGGGCGGCCUGAUCCCCCAGCAUCCAUCCCCCGGGGUCGCUGUCAAACAAAUCCCGGAUCGAGCGAGCCCAUUGCCGUCUAGAGCCUCGCUUCGCCGCACGGCACAAAAAGGGGAGCGCCAGCCCGCCCGCCCACGCCCAGCCGCGCUGCCCUCCUCCCCUCCACACGUCUCCUCCCCUCNCCCCCCGCCCCGCCGCCGACGCAGCUCCUCCCUCUCCAUCUCCAUCCCCAUCCCCUCCCCGCUUCCUCGGCCCGUCCCUGCCCUACGCGCCCGGCGCUGCCCCGCGCGGCAGACACAGCGCGGCACAGGUACGGCUCCGGACCCUCCGCUCGCUUCGCCCCCCGACUCCCCGAGGCGCGGGGUCUCUCCGCCUCCGUCCGCGCGGGUUUGAUCUGAGCGGCUGGUUCGGUGUUUCGCGCAGGUGGUUGGUUCAUGGCCGCCAGCGUGCGGGAAGCUGCGGCGGGGNNNN
rnacentral:lncRNA from 1 species